rnacentral:tRNA from 1 species
GCUUGUUGGCUUGGUGCGGCACGAACCAGUCGAUGCUGUCGGCAUUGAGGCCGGUCGCCUGGAAGGCAUCGACGAUCACGUCGGUGAUCAUGCC